ensembl:snRNA
GUGUUGUACGAAAGGAGAGAAAGUUAAAACUCCCUUUGACAAAACAAUCAGAACUUGAUUAAUAACUGAUAGCCUCCUGAUUUUGU